CCUACGGGUGGCAGCAGUGAGGAAUAUUGGUCAAUGGGCGAGAGCCUGAACCAGCCAAGUCGCGUGAGGGAGUACUGCCCUAUGGGUUGUAAACCUCUUUUGUCGGGGAGCAAAAGCCGGACGUGUCCGGCUGUGAGAGUACCCGAAGAAAAGGCAUCGGCUCCCUCCGUGCCAGCAGCCGCGGUAAUACGGAGGAUGCGAGCGUUAUCCGGAGUUAUUGGGUGUAAAGGGGGCGCAGGCGUGUUUUUAAGUCAGCGGGAAAAUAGUGGGGCUCAACCCCAUCCAGCCGUUGAAACUGGGGAUCUAGAGUGUGCGAGAGGUAGGCGGAAUGCGUGGUGUAGCGGUGAAAUGCAUAGAUAUCACGCAGAACCCCGAUUGCGAAGGCAGCAUACCGGUGCACAACUGACGCUCAGGCACGAAAGCGUGGGUAUCGAACAGGAUUAGAUACCCCUGUAGUC
rnacentral:rRNA from 1 species